rnacentral:lncRNA from 8 species
AUGACCACACCACUACAGACGACCACACCACUACAGACGACCACACCACUACAGACGACCACAGCCCUACAGACGACCACACCACUACAGACGACCACAGCCCUACAGACGACCACACCACUACAGACGACCACACCACUACAGACGACCACACCACUACAGACGACCACAGACGUCCACACCACUACAGACGACCACACUACUACAGACGACCACAGACGACCACACCACUACAGACGACCACACCACUACAGACGACCACAGACCUACAGACAACCACAGACCUACAGACGACCACACCACUACAGACGACCACAGACGACCACAGACCUACAGACGACCACACCACUACAGACGACCACAGCACUACAGACGACCACAGCCCUACCGACGACCACACCACUACAGACGACCACAGCACUACAGACGACCACACCACUACAGACGACCACAGCCCUACAGACGACCAGACCACUACAGAUGACCACACCACUACAGACGACCACAGACGACCACACCACUACAGACGUCCACACCACUACAGACGACCACACCACUACAGACGACCACAGACGACCCCACCACUACAGACGACCACAGACCUACAGACAACCACAGACCUACAGACGACCACACCACUACAGACGACCACAGACCUACAGACGACCACAGACCUACAGACGACCACACCACUACAGACGACCACAGCACUACAGACGACCACACCACUACAGACGACCACAGCACUACAGACGACCACAGCCCUACCGACGACCACAGCCCUACAGACGACCACACCACUACAGACGACCACACCACUACAGACGACCACAGCCCUACAGACGACGACACCACUACAGACGACCACAGAUGACCACAGCCCUACAUACGACCACAACCCUACAGACGACCACACCACUACAGACGACCACAGACGACCACAGACGUACAGACGACCACACCACUACAGAUGACCACACCACUACAGAUGACCACACCACUACAGAUGACCACAGACCUACAGACGACCACAGCCCUACCGAUGACCACAGACCUACAGACGACCACACCGGGUUCUCCUCCAAUCAGCUAAAAAAAGGAAGAAGCAGUGGGCACUUCCAUCACCAACACUGGACAAAUGAGGAGUGGAACAAAUUGCCUGGUUCAACGAAUCACGGUUCCUGUUAG